CAAAUUCGACCACCGCGACUCACACACGCUCUGUCAACAUUUAUGACACGAUGUCUAACAUCAAAAUCACUUUUCUCUAUCAUCAAAACGUUUUCACUACUCAUUUUUAAUCGCGUUCGAAUUUUAAAUAUUUUUCUUUUUUUAAUAGUGAGUGUCAUUCUAUUCUCGGAUAAAAAUUGCGUAGUUUUUUGUGACCGUUUUCAAUGUGCUGUUAAGAUGUUCAGUUUUAUGAGUUACGAGGUUUUGGCAGAGGGUUUGGCGAUCCCAACACGUGUUGAGGCUGCGACCCUAAAGUCAAAGAUCCUACGACCCGGAUUAUGUAGUAUGUCGAACUGAAGAGCAGAAAACAAAACUGACUCGACGUAGCGCCUAACAACAAUAGUUUAAUAAGUCACAAAAACGUCUUAAUAAUAUAAGUUCACGACUAUAUCCCAAUGGGGUAGUCAGAUGUACAUCCAUCACAAGAUGAACUCAGAACACUGUCUCUCAAGCAGGUCCCCUAGUUUGAGAGAUUACCUUCUGCUUUUAAAUACCGUCUAAAUUAUAUAAACUGUCAAUGUAAUUGUCAAUAAUAUGUACCUAAAUAGUUGUGUGUGGAACUAAAAAAAAAACUAUAUACCUACCUAGGUAGUUAUAGGUAUAGAAUUAUUGUAAUAUAACCGCGUAAGCGCGAAUAAUACUAAAUGUAUGAAAACAACCCGUUUUUUUUACAGGAAUUCUCAAUGAAGAACCCGUCUUCAGCGAUCAUUUUCUGCAUUUUACAUUGUGAUAAUGUUUUAUUACAUUGUUCUCACAUUUAGCAUGCAGAAACUUUGAAAGUCAUCAAAAUGGAAAAUUAUUAAAGACGCGUGCUCUGCCAUCUAUCGAGAAUAAUAGUU